UGGGGAAUUUUGCACAAUGGGGGAAACCCUGAUGCAGCGACGCCGCGUGAUUUAGAAGGCCUUCGGGUUGUAAAAAUCUUUUCUAUGGGAAGAAAAUGACAGUACCAUAGGAAUAAGGACCGGCUAAUUACGUGCCAGCAGCCGCGGUAAUACGUAAGGUCCGAGCGUUGUCCGGAAUCAUUGGGCGUAAAGGGUACGUAGGCGGGUAAGCAAGUUAGAAGUGAAAUCCUAUAGCUCAACUAUAGUAAGCUUUUAAAACUGCUCAUCUUGAGGUAUGGAAGGGUAAGUGGAAUUCCUAGUGUAGCGGUGAAAUGCGCAGAUAUUAGGAGGAAUACCGGUGGCGAAGGCGACUUUCUGGCCAUAACCUGACGCUGAGGUACGAAAGCGUGGGUAGCAAACAGG
rnacentral:rRNA from 1 species